rnacentral:lncRNA from 1 species
AAUAAUUCAAGUUCCUCAUUAGAAUCAUUUAAAUUAGCCAAAACCUUUUUUCCUCUCAAGGACCGAUUUAUUUUAUCUGUGGACAUAGAGGGGACAAAACGCCUGCCCAGUGCCGGAAGGUCAUCUAACCCGCAAAGACCCAAGACCACUUGAGUACCUAAACAAGAUUAAUUUUAUUAUUUUGUAGGAACAUGCCCGCAAAAGCUAUAAGAAAGGAAUAUGAGUCAUUGAUAGAGGAUAUUCUAG